rnacentral:rRNA from 1 species
AGCUCUCCGAGUGGUAGGGAUGAUUAUUGGGCUUAAAGCGUCCGUAGCCGGCUUAGCAAGUCUCCUGUUAAAUUCAGCGACCUAAUCGUUGAGCCGCGGGAGAUACUACUAGGCUAGGAGGCGGGAGAGGCCGACGGUACUUCCGGGGUAGGGGUGAAAUCCUAUAAUCCCGGGCGGACCACCAGUGGCGAAGGCUGUCGGCUAGAACGCGCUCGACGGUGAGGGACGAAAGCUGGGGGAGCGAACCGGAUUAGAUACCCGAGUAGUCC